UACGGGGGGGGCAAGCGUUGUUCGGAAUUACUGGGCGUAAAGGGCGCGUAGGCGGCCUUCUAAGUCAGACGUGAAAUCCCCCGGCUUAACCUGGGAACUGCGUCUGAUACUGGGAGGCUUGAGUGCGGGAGAGGGAUGCGGAAUUCCAGGUGUAGCGGUGAAAUGCGUAGAUAUCUGGAGGAACACCGGUGGCGAAGGCGGCAUCCUGGACCGACACUGACGCUGAGGCGCGAAAGCUAGGGUAGCAAACGGG
rnacentral:rRNA from 1 species